UCCAAACAAAUGUCAUAGUUUUGGCAGAAAUAGGCAGGAUGGAGUUAGUUUCUCAGUUGAAAAAAGUAUUUGUUUUUAAAAGACAUAAUUUGUGUGUCAGAACAAACAAGAAGAUGAAAGUAAGAACAUUUGAAGUAGAUUACAGAGUAGACAUUAAAGCUAGCAAAGAACCAAGCAGCGUACACUUCAUACCAGGGGGCGCAGGUGGUGCUGGUGCUGCUGCAGGUGGUGCUGGUGCUGGUGCUGCUGCAGGUGGUGGUGGUGCAGGUGUGUGGUGAGGAGACCCGAGAAGGAGGACCGGGGUGUGAAGUGGAGUGUUGUCGGUAGUGGACACCAUCUGAGGCGCCACAUCCCCUGUAGAAGAAGACAUCCGAGGCAGUCCUCAUCGGCAGAGCUUCCUUUUCCUUCCCCGCCCGUUGUGCCUCUGCACCGAUGACGUCAGAGGCUCCUCCCCCCCCUGAUGACAUCAUCGCUG